rnacentral:misc_RNA from 1 species
ACAACCGUUUCGAUCCCUUUCUUAACAAAGUUAAGAAGAGAAAGGGUUUGGUUAUGGUGGAGGAGGAACAGAGAGAGCGCUUAGCCUGUUAAAAAUGGCUGUGUUUUCCGCCUCCCCCCAAAAUUGUACAGGCGGUCGUGUGUGCCCAUGCAUUCGAGGUGUUGUAAAAGCUACCACAGUACUUUUCACCUGGUGCAGUGUGAGAUCGGCCAGCCGGUUUAGAAAACCCCCCAAACAAUCAAA